UCUGCUCUCUUCUCUUUCUCUCUGCUCUCCUCCUCUCCUUUUCUUCCCCUUCAGGCAGCCCCCCAAUAAAAUUUCUUGGUUGAAUCUCCCUCUCGGGUGAGUCACUUGCCUUUCAGUGAUGACACCAGUCUUGAAAAUCAGGACUGGGUUCUUGUUCCCCUGGUGUUGAAGUUAAAUACCCGAGAUUCACAGAGGAAUUUGGAACGGGUUCGUGUUCCAUGGAGUCCAAGAAUGAACACCAUGAACGCCAAGAUUCUACCUUACCUCCCACAUGAUCCUGUGAACUCACCUGCUUGGAAUGCCUCUGGCUACUCUUCUUCACCAACCCCACACCUGCUCCUUGUCAAGUCCCAGUCCUCAACGUGCAUGCUCUAUUAGCCUUCCCUAUAACUAUUUUCUCCCUUCUCCUUUCUCAGGAUCACAAUGGCACUUGGGUCAAGGACAUUUAUUCCCGUAAGAGUCCUCACUGAGCUAUCUUGUAUUUCAUAGCUCUGUGGUUACGACUGGACUUUGGAAUGAAAGAGACAGAUUCAAAUUCCAACUCCA